AAUUAAGGAACUCAGUCUAAGAGCGCCACGCCCUGUGGCAACGACUGAGUGACCAACAUCUUAUUGUUGC
rfam:Lysinibacillus xylanilyticus strain DSM 23493 Scaffold1, whole genome shotgun sequence.